GCAGAGCUUGCUCUGGCUGACGACCGGCGCACGGGUGCGUAACGCGUAUACAAUCUACCUUAUACAGGAGGAUAGCCCUAAGAAAUUGGGAUUAAUACUCCAUAAGAUUCAUUUAUUGCAUGAUAGAUGACUUAAAGUUUCGGCGGUAUAAGAUGAGUAUGCGUCCUAUUAGCUAGUUGGUAAGGUAACGGCUUACCAAGGCGACGAUAGGUAGGGGGCCUGAGAGGGUUAUCCCCCACACUGGUACUGAGACACGGACCAGACUCCUACGGGAGGCAGCAGUGAGGAAUAUUGGUCAAUGGAGGCAACUCUGAACCAGCCAUGCCGCGUGAAGGAAGAAUGUCCUAUGGAUUGUAAACUUCUUUUAUUUGGGAAGAAACCUAUCUACGUGUAGAUAGCUGACGGUACCAAAUGAAUAAGGACCGGCUAACUCCGUGCCAGCAGCCGCGGUAAUACGGAGGGUCCAAGCGUUAUCCGGAAUCAUUGGGUUUAAAGGGUUCGCAGGCGGUUCAUUAAGUCAGUGGUGAAAUCCCAUAGCUCAACUAUGGAACUGCCAUUGAUACUGAUAAACUUGAAUAUAGUUGGAGUAGGCGGAAUGUGUAGUGUAGCGGUGAAAUGCUUAGAUAUUACACAGAACACCGAUAGCGAAGGCAGCUUACUAAACUAUGAUUGACGCUCAUGAACGAAAGCGUGGGGAGCGAACAGGAUUAGAUACCCUGGUAGUCCACGCCGUAAACUAUGAUUACUCGUUAUUGGCGAUACACAGUCAGUGACUAAGCGAAAGUGAUAAGUAAUCCACCUGGGGAGUACGGUCGCAAGAUUGAAACUC
rnacentral:rRNA from 1 species